AGAGUUUGAUCAUGGCUCAGAAUCAACGCUGGCGGCGUGCCUCAGACAUGCAAGUCGAACGAUUAAACUUUCCUUCGGGAAAGAUAUAAAGUGGCGCACGGGUGAGUAACACGUAGGUAAUCUACCUUUGAGUGGGGAAUAACGUUCGGAAACGAACGCUAAUACCGCAUAAUGCAGCGGCACCGCAAGGUGACAGUUGUUAAAGGAGCAAUCCGCUUAAAGAGGAGCCUGCGGCAGAUUAGCUAGUUGGUAAGGUAAUGGCUUACCAAGGCGACGAUCUGUAACCGACCUGAGAGGGUGGUCGGUCACACUGACACUGAAUAACGGGUCAGACUCCUACGGGAGGCAGCAGUCGGGAGUUUUGGGCAAUGGGCGAAAGCCUGACCCAGCAACGCCGCGUGAAGGAUGAAGUAUUUCGGUAUGUAAACUUCGAAAGAAUGGGAAGAAUAAAUGACGGUACCAUUUAUAAGGUCCGGCUAACUACGUGCCAGCAGCCGCGGUAAUACGUAGGGACCAAGCGUUGUUCGGAUUUACUGGGCGUAAAGGGCGCGUAGGCGGCAAAUCAAGUCAGCUGUGAAAUCUCCGAGCUUAACUCGGAACGGUCAGCUGAUACUGUUUUGCUAGAGUGCAGAAGGGGCAAUCGGAAUUCUUGGUGUAGCGGUGAAAUGCGUAGAUAUCAAGAGGAACACCUGAGGUGAAGACGGGUUGCUGGGCUGACACUGACGCUGAGGCGCGAAAGCUAGGGUAGCAAACGGGAUUAGAUACCCCAGUAGUCC
rnacentral:rRNA from 1 species